rnacentral:rRNA from 1 species
AACGAACGCUGGCGGCAUGCCUAACACAUGCAAGUCGAACGAGACCUUCGGGUUUAGUGUCGCACGGGUGCGUAACGGGUGGGAACCUGCCCUUAGGCUCGGAAAAAAUCCCCGGAAGGGGUGCCAAAACCGGAUAAUGUAUCCGGACCAAAGAUUUAUCGCCUUUGGAUGGGCCUGCGUUGGAUAAGCUAGUUGGUAGGGUAAAAGCCUAUCAAGGCGACGAUCCAUAGCUGGUCGGAGAGGAUGAUCACCCACACUGGGACUGAGACACGGCCGGGAAUCCUACGGGAGGCAGCAGAGGGGAAUAUUAGCCAAUGGGCGAAAGCCUGAUCCAGCAACGCCGCGUAAGGGAUGAAGGGCUGGAAGUUGUAAAGCUCGUUUACCAGGGAGGGUAAUGACAGUACCGGGAGGAUAAGCUCCGGCUAACUCCGUG